GCCUUCGUGGUGUAGUGGUCAGCACACUCGGCGCGUAUUCGAGAGGUCUGAGGUUCGAGUCCCGGCGAAAACA
rnacentral:tRNA from 1 species